ensembl:lncRNA
GUACAUGAGUGUUCCUUUAACUUAUGUUGUCAGUGUAAUUGACAGGCUGCUUAACUGGUUAACUCUUAAAUUCAACAUAUUUUUUCCGGCAGUGAGAGGACAGGCAAUGAUGCAGAGAGCACAGGGAGAGGAGAAACACCAGGUCCAAUAGAGAGAGAAGCACAGAGGAGCCAUGAACCCCAGAACACGCAGGACCUGACGUGGAGGACAAGGCCCUCUGGGCACUACUGUAAAAAGGAGACUCCGUCAUUGACCAGGUCCUGCUGUGUAGUUCUGGGCUGAUCCCUCACAUUCCUGAUGAUCAUUGAUGCCCCACAAGGUGAGAUCUGGCAUGGAACCCCAGGUCGAGGGAGAUUGACCAUCAUCUUCAACAUCUUCCAUUUUCUAAUUAUUGCACCAACAGUUGUUCUUCACACCAAGCUGCUUGUCUGUUGUUCUGUAGCCCACCACAGCUCUGUGCAGGUCUACAAUUCUAUCCCUGAUGUCCUUACACAGCUCUCUGGUCUUGGCUAUUGUGGAGAGGUUGGAGUCUGUUUGAGUGUGUGGACAGGUGUCUUUUAUACAGGUAACGAGUUCAAAUAGGUGCAGUUGAUACAGGCAAUAAGUGGAGAACAGGAGGGCUUCCUAAAGACAAACUAACAGUCUGUGAGAGACGGAAUUCUUACUGGUUGGUAGGUGAUCAAAUUCUUAUGUCAUGCAAUAAACUGCAAAAUAUGAUAAAUGAUAAAAAUUACAGAUUCUUACUUUGUAAGUGGGAAAACCUACAAAAUUGGCUACUACUUCUUCCCCCCACUGUAUAUAUGAUAUAAAAUGAGGGGCGAUAUUAAAACCUUGUCUAAAACAAAACAUUCAAGCAACUAGCUCAGCACUAUUUUUUGAUAAAAUGAUAUUAGAUUUAUUUUGGCUUAUUUCUCAAGUCAAGGAUGCCUUGAACUGUUGUUGCGGAACCAUUCAUUGGUAAUGCUGAAAAGGUUUUGUGUAAUGUUCUGUUACGCAGCAGGUCCAGCACCUUGGUCGUUUUCAUUCAUUUUGUUCAUCAGGCUGAAUCUCAGAGGACUCCAUGCCAUCCUAUGUCCAUUUCCUCUCCAGCUGAUCCACAGGUGGCAAAGUACACUUUGUUCUUAUUUGUCUGGCCUGUCUGUUCAAUAUUAGCCUUCUCUCCAUCCGCAGAACAGCCCCUGAUAUUGUUAUGAAAGGGGAGCAUUGAAUCAGGGAGAGCAGAAAAGCAUUUGGCUGGCAUUUCCCACCUCGGCUGAAUCCAGUUCCUGGUGCCUGGGCCAGACUGUUUCGUUUCUGUUUGAGCAUUGAUGAUGACACUGUUCCAGGUCUCCACCUGUGUCCUCCCUCUCUGAUCAGUGCAGUGGCCCUGCUGGGAAGGGAUAACAAACAGCAGGGCGCUCUCAUCUCUCCCCAGUCUUUCUGCGCUGAUAAGCAUGGAUAGAUCAUCAGGAUUGUUAGGUGUUAGAAUCUCAAUCUUUUCUGCUUGAACUAAGAUCGAUGGACAUAUGUCUCUUUGACUCUGGUAUCUCUGUUUGGUCAUGCAUAGUCAAACCUGUAUUUUUGCAUGAAAAAAGCUAGUUUAUAAAUACCCUACUUUGUAAUAAUUCAUAUUUAUAAAUGAAGAAAGUCAUGAUUUCGUCAUGAUGAAUUAUUGGCAUAGUCAGAAAAAAGGGACAAUUAAACCUUUUUGUAAAAGUAUUAUCUUUCUUCAAAACAUAAUUAAAGUGACAUUUUCUUUGCAUACUUGCUAAUCCCCUUGUAUACUUAUUCUCAAUAUAAUAUAAUUUCAUAAAUGUAAUAUCUGCAGUAUUUUGUUAGUCUCCAUACUUUGUACUUUUUAUACAUUAUAUUCGUAUAAAUUGUCAAAGGCGCGUUCUUCCAUAGCCAGAUUUUGGUCAAUGUGUGGAAAUGUACAGCAAACACAGCCAUUGUCUCUGCUCAUUUCUAACAGCAAAUUCAAGAUAUUGAUGUAAUGUUUGAACAAAUUCCCUUCUGUACAUUUUAUAGUUGUUUGGAAGUAUUUGGAAAUGAGGAUUUUUUCCCACAUAAAAAUAUCCCCCAAAAAACAACGGAAAAUUUGUAUUACAAGGUAAAACAUGAUUAUUAAGACAGGUUAUCCUGUAAUGGUGGCCUUUAUGGUGGCCUUUCAUCACUCUCUCCUCCCUCCUGAGCCUCAGACACACAGGCUCAAGUUGGAUUCAAUCUAUGUUUUUUUUUUUUUUUAUCUAUAUCACUCUCUUUUUAAGAUUUGCUGUUGUUCCAGGAUAAUAGACUGUUAUGCUUGUUGUGUGUAGGGUGGAUGUGUGUGAGUGUGUGUUUGGAUGUGGCAAGUAUCACCUCUGUGCUUUUCUAAAUGUAAAUAGAAGUUUUGAUCAGGAAGUGAGGGGACAAUCAAUACAUGUGAAAAAUAGAGGGAGACAGCGGAAAGGUUUUACUUCUUAUAAUAUAUAUUAAUAUCUGAGCACUCUGAUUAUUAAAUGUAUUCUGUGAGAUUGUAAAUGAAGCAUUAAGUUGGAUAGUGCAACUUAGUUUAUGUGGGGGUUUAAUAACGCAUAUUAAAUACACUGAUCAGAGAAUAUAUUUUGUAGUUUUUAUUACUAAUAUUACUUUUAUGCUCAUAGUUUUACCAAAGUAGGAUACAUUUAAUGAUGUAUUAGGGGCAACAAAGCAACUCCAUCAUUUUGAAUGCAGCACGUAGAUGGAAUGUUUUUAUUUCCAAAAUUAUUGUUUCAAUGUGAAAAAAGUAUGUAAUGGUACACCAGUUAUUUUGUCUCAACAUUGUUGCAUAUCAGCAUGAAAUAAAAAACACAUCAGAAAUGUCCUUUUCGUGUUCAUGCUUUUCCAAAUGUGCGUUGUUUGCAGCUUGCAUGGACACUAUAGCUGUGUUUGCAACUCUUAGCUAGCUCGCUCAGUGCUUCGCUAGCUAAGAGCAGUCAUUUAGAAAUUACAAACAUGCUGUUUUUUUUAAGCCUUCACUCAGCAAAUGUUUACACCGCAUGAAGAAAAAAUGCCUGACACUCAUGAAUUUAGUUGUGUGACAUGAACAGAGUGAAUCAAGUCCUGUUCACUGGUGGAGUAGAGAGUGUCUCUUUUUAUCAUUCAGAUACUAUUGCAUUGUUCUUUUGAUACUACAGUGAUAUCAAUCAUUGAUAAACAUAAUUGGGCAUCAAGACGGAGAUACAGACGUAAGUGUCGUUGAUGAUCGUGAGCUGAUGGAUGGAUGAGACAAUGCGAAAAAAAAAUAUGGUGGCAUGGCAUGUUCUUGGGUGGUGGGAGGGCUUUGCGGUACCUGGUCCAAAUAAUGGAGAAAGCCAGCUGGGACUUUUGGCAAAUA